rnacentral:tRNA from 1 species
GGAGAGGUGGCUUAGUUGGUAAAAGGCUUGCUGCUCAAGCAUGAGGACCUGAGUUCAAAUUCCCAGCCUCUCCU